rnacentral:lncRNA from 1 species
UCAGAAAGUUCUAAACUGUGCUAAAUUGCAUCUUUUCCAGUAUGUCUACUGUGGCCAGGCCUUGUACUAACAGUUUUCUGCAUUAUUAAUUCCAGUGUGGAAGUUUAUAGCUGGAAGCCAAAGAAACCUGCUCUAAGGAAGAGCGUGCCAGAGCCACCUCUAGCUGUUUCAAGCGUGCAACACAGGUGAAUCGCCUGCACAAGCUGGGGCAAGCUCCCCAGACACCAAGUGAACUAGCAUGAGGUCCAUUUCCAGAGCAUCUGAAAGACAGGGAAUUGGUAGAAGUUGGAAAAACCAAAGCCUUCAAACCUGGCUACAGGACCAAUAUUUUUGCUGUCCCUCAUAAGUGGAAGUCAUUGCAAAGAGACUGUUGCCCUUCUGCUCUGGAUGAAGAUGUUGUGUUUUAAAACUUAAGACAUACAACUGAAGGAAUGAAACAUCCAAGCAAAGAACUACAAAGGCACUAAAAUGAAGCCUGAAGAGACUUGCCAAUGUCAACAGAGAAAAUCUGCUGCACACCCAGCCUUAACAGGAAGCAGAAAUUCCUCACCUAGAGUUGUCUUCUGAACAGAAAGUUUUGGAGAUGAUAAGCUCUGUAAAAGCAUUGGCCCUUGGAUGGUCCCAGCCAACAGGUCUAUGGUGAGAUGGCAAAGUGACUUCCUCUGAAGUAACACAUGCUGUUAUCUCAGAGCACAUUACAAAGCAGAGGUGGACAUGACAUUUACAUCAAAGUUCAAGUCAUCCUUGUUUCAGUGGACACAUAAUUCUGCGGCCCUUUAGUGAUUCCCCAGCUGUGGAGGUUCAGAGUCUAAGGUCAGACCCUCAUAAAUGGGAAUUUACUCAUGCUCAGCUG